rnacentral:tRNA from 4 species
GGGAAGUAAGCUAACUCGGUAGAAGCGAUGGACUGAAAAUCCAUAGGAGUUGGUUCGACACCAACACUUCCCA